GUUUUAAUAGUUUAAACAAAAACAUUGGUCUUGUAAAUCAAAAUUAAGAUCCACUUUUAAAACU
rnacentral:tRNA from 1 species